rnacentral:rRNA from 1 species
CCUACGGGCGGCAGCAGUCGAGAAUCAUUCACAAUGGGGGAAACCCUGGUGGUGCGACGCCGCGUGGGGGAAUGAAGGUCUUCGGAUUGUAAACCCCUGUCAUGUGGGAGCAAAUUAAAAAGAUAGUACCACAAGAGGAAGAGACGGCUAACUCUGUGCCAGCAGCCGCGGUAAUACAGAGGUCUCAAGCGUUGUUCGGAAUCACUGGGCGUAAAGCGUGCGUAGGCUGUUUCGUAAGUCGUGUGUGAAAGGCGCGGGCUCAACCCGCGGACGGCACAUGAUACUGCGAGACUAGAGUAAUGGAGGGGGAACCGGAAGUCUCGGUGUAGCAGUGAAAUGCGUAGAUAUCGAGAGGAACACUCGUGGCGAAGGCGGGUUCCUGGACAUUAACUGACGCUGAGGCACGAAGGCCAGGGGAGCGAAAGGGAUUAGAUACCCGUGUAGUC